CCUACGGGUGGCUGCAGUGGGGAAUAUUGGACAAUGGGGGAAACCCUGAUCCAGCGACGCCGCGUGAGUGAAGAAGUGUUUCGGUAUGUAAAGCUCUAUCAGCAGGGACGAAAGAAAUGACGGUACCUGACUAAGAAGCCCCGGCUAACUACGUGCCAGCAGCCGCGGUAAUACGUAGGGGGCAAGCGUUAUCCGGAUUUACUGGGUGUAAAGGGUGAGUAGACGGCAUGGUAAGCCAGAUGUGAAAGCCUGGGGCUUAACCCCAGGAUUGCAUUGGAAACUAUAAAGCUAGAGUGCAGGAGAGGAAAGUGGAAUUCCUAGUGUAGCGGUGAAAUGCGUAGAUAUUAGGAGGAACACCAGUGGCGAAGGCGGCUUACUGGACUGAAACUGACGUUGAGGCACGAAAGCGUGGGGAGCGAACAGGAUUAGAUACCCUUGUAGUC
rnacentral:rRNA from 1 species